GGAUGUGAGGGUGAUGUGGCUGUGACAUCUGACAUCUGUCACCCCACGGAUAAAGGGAGCUGAUUCGGCUGCUCUAGCUGGCUGGGGGAGGGUCCCCUUCCUCCCUCACAGCUCCGUGUGUGUCCCUCCCCUCCCCAAGUGGCACACUUGGCCAGAGAGGACAACACCCCAAGAGAGGAGGACCGUUCCUCAAUCAAGGGUCUAAAGUAGCUGUGCACCCUGCUAGAACCUCCAAACAAGCUCUCAGAAUAAAAAGUCUAAGCAGGACAAUGUCCAUCCUGUGGAAGGCAUGGACCAUGCUGUGUGCCCAGUGAU
rnacentral:snRNA from 1 species